GAUGAACGCUGGCGGCGUGCCUAAUACAUGCAAGUCGAGCGAACAGACGAGGAGCUUGCUCCUCUGACGUUAGCGGCGGACGGGUGAGUAACACGUGGAUAACCUACCUAUAAGACUGGGAUAACUUCGGGAAACCGGAGCUAAUACCGGAUAAUAUAUUGAACCGCAUGGUUCAAUAGUGAAAGACGGUUUUGCUGUCACUUAUAGAUGGAUCCGCGCCGCAUUAGCUAGUUGGUAAGGUAACGGCUUACCAAGGCAACGAUGCGUAGCCGACCUGAGAGGGUGAUCGGCCACACUGGACCGGAGACACGGUCCAGACUCCUACGGGAGGCAGCAGUAGGGAAUCUUCGGCAAUGGGCGAAAGCCGGACGGAGCAACGCCGCGUGAGUGAUGAAGGUCUUCGGAUCGUAAAACUCUGUUAUUAGGGAGGAACAAAUGUGUAAGUAACUAUGCACGUCUUGACGGUACCUAAUCAGAAAGCCACGGCUAACUACGUG
rnacentral:rRNA from 1 species